rnacentral:rRNA from 1 species
UACGGGGGGGGCAAGCGUUGUUCGGAAUUACUGGGCGUAAAGGGCGCGUAGGCGGCCUGCUAAGUCGGACGUGAAAUCCCUCGGCUCAACCGAGGAACUGCGUCCGAUACUGGUGGGCUUGAAUCCGGGAGAGGGAUGUGGAAUUCCAGGUGUAGCGGUGAAAUGCGUAGAUAUCAGGAGGAAUACCGACGGCGAAGGCAGCUUACUGGGCAUUAUCUGACGCUGAGGCGCGAAAGCGUGGGUAGCAAACAGG